rnacentral:tRNA from 1 species
CUUUUAAAGGAUGGUAGUUAUCCAUUGGUCUUAGGAACCAAAAAUAU